UGCAAGUCGAGCGGAGACGAGUUAUCUGAACCUUCGGGGAACGAUAACGGCGUCGAGCGGCGGACGGGUGAGUAAUGCCUAGGAAAUUGCCCUGAUGUGGGGGAUAACCAUUGGAAACGAUGGCUAAUACCGCAUAAUGCCUACGGGCCAAAGAGGGGGACCUUCGGGCCUCUCGCGUCAGGAUAUGCCUAGGUGGGAUUAGCUAGUUGGUGAGGUAAUGGCUCACCAAGGCGACGAUCCCUAGCUGGUCUGAGAGGAUGAUCAGCCACACUGGAACUGAGACACGGUCCAGACUCCUACGGGAGGCAGCAGUGGGGAAUAUUGCACAAUGGGCGCAAGCCUGAUGCAGCCAUGCCGCGUGUGUGAAGAAGGCCUUCGGGUUGUAAAGCACUUUCAGUCGUGAGGAAGGUGGUAGUGUUAAUAGCACUAUCAUUUGACGUUAGCGACAGAAGAAGCACCGGCUAACUCCGUGCCAGCAGCCGCGGUAAUACGGAGGGUGCGAGCGUUAAUCGGAAUUACUGGGCGUAAAGCGCAUGCAGGUGGUUUGUUAAGUCAGAUGUGAAAGCCCGGGGCUCAACCUCGGAAUAGCAUUUGAAACUGGCAGACUAGAGUACUGUAGAGGGGGGUAGAAUUUCAGGUGUAGCGGUGAAAUGCGUAGAGAUCUGA
rnacentral:rRNA from 1 species